GGUCUAAUUUGACUGACUCACAUCCGCAGAACUGUUACACUAUAUUGUGAUACUUGGCUUAAACUUUAAUUUUCACAAGUUUCAGUGAGGUAUUAAACAACAAACUAAUGGCACAAGUUCACGUUCAGAGUCCUAACGUUCGUUACGCUGAUGAAGUAAUAGAGGCUGUCUACACGUACGAAACAACUGACGUUAGCAUAGAAGAUGGUAUAUACAAGGUUUGUCCUCGCACCACCAAGUUCACAUUCCGUAC